AGGAUUGCGGUUUCAAAAAUACCAAUCAUCAAACAGCUGUGAAAUCACAACUGGCGUCUUUUAGCUUAAAAAAAGAGUCUUUCCCAGAUUUAUAUCCGAGUACAAAAGAAAAGCGAGCAAAAAGAGUGUGAAUCAGACAACACUGCUCCUAAAAGUCACAGCGAGCGUGGAGGACUCCAUAUCCCAGCAGCAGAAGCCUGUUCCACCACAUUAAUCCAGAAUUUUUAACUCCUUGAACACACAUCCUCACAGCACUUGAGAGAGGAGGAGAUCUUCACGCGUCUUUGUUCAGCGCUGGAAAAACCACUGCUCUAUUUGUUGGCUGUGUGGAAGUGUCAGAUUCUUGACUCAUGGAGACGGUGUGGGAACCGUCCCAGGUAAAUCAUACUGGGCACCUGAGGACACUUGAGAACCAGCUCCCGCUGUCCCUGCUGGAGAGGGAGUACACAAUUGCAUCUGGUCUUGGUUUCCAUUCGGUAACAUGGGUUCUUGAUUGCAAUGUAGUGGAUUGAAUGGGGGUAUAAGGAUAAUUAGACACCGGCCAGGCCAGUUUAUUCAGACUGGAGUGGCUGGCAACAUCCUAAACAUCAAUGUCCACAAAGGUUGAUGAUGGGUGUAAAGCAUCUGCUGUUAUGUACUGUGUAGUAAAGAUAAGGUAAUUGUAUAUGUUGCCAAUACAUGAAAUGAAAAACAAAUAAACAAUUAUUCACUUCACAAUAAUAUCAAUCACAUA